rnacentral:rRNA from 1 species
UACAGAGGGUGCAAGCGUUAAUCGGAAUGACUGGGCGUAAAGCGUGUGUAGGUGGUUAGAUAAGUUAGAUGUGAAAUCCCCGGGCUUAACCUGGGAACUGCGUUUAAGACUGUCUAGCUAGAGUACUGUAGAGGAUAGUGGAAUUUCCAGUGUAGCGGUGAAAUGCGUAGAUAUUGGAAGGAACACCAGUGGCGAAGGCGACUAUCUGGAUAGAUACUGACACUGAGACACGAAAGCGUGGGGAGCAAAC